UACGAAGGGGGCUAGCGUUGCUCGGAAUCACUGGGCGUAAAGGGCGCGUAGGCGGCGUUUUUAAGUCGGGGGUGAAAGCCUGUGGCUCAACCACAGAAUGGCCUCGAUACUGGGACGCUUGAGUAUGGUAGAGGUUGGUGGAACUGCGAGUGUAGAGGUGAAAUUCGUAGAUAUUCGCAAGAACACCAGUGGCGAAGGCGACUUACUGGACACAUAUUGACGCUGAGGUGCGAAAGCGUGGGGAGCAAACAGG
rnacentral:rRNA from 1 species